CUUUCUUUCUGCUGUCUUUAAUCUCCUUAACUGUUUCCUGGUGUUGGGAAGGGUCCUCUGUGGACUUCUGUUGCAUGGCCUGCACAAUACUCAGACUUUUCUGCUCAGGGAUGCCUUUCCCCAUUCCCUCAAGGAGGCAUCUCUUAUAAUGCUCUAAGAGAGAAAGGACAUCCCCUUUAGGGUCCCAGUUGGGCUCAGUUACAGGUAUUGCCCUGGAAAGGCCCAGAGCCCCAUCUGGGUUU